rnacentral:rRNA from 2 species
UUAAGUGACUAAGCGUACACGGUGGAUGCCUGGGCAGUCAGAGGCGAUGAAGGACGUACUAACUUGCGAUAAGCGCAGAUAAGGCAGUAAGAGCCGUUUGAGUCUGCGAUUUCCGAAUGGGGAAACCCAACUGCAUAAGCAGUUACUGUUAACUGAAUACAUAGGUUAACAGAGCAAACCGGGGGAACUGAAACAUCUAAGUACCCCGAGGAGAAGAAAUCAACCGAGAUUCCGGUAGUAGCGGCGAGCGAACCUGGAUUAGCCCUUAAGCACUCGGUGAAGUAGGUGAACAAGCUGGAAAGCUUGGCGAUACAGGGUGAUAGCCCCGUAACCGACGCUUCAUCGAGCGUGAAAUCGAGUAGGGCGGGACACGUGAUAUCCUGUCUGAAUAUGGGGGGACCAUCCUCCAAGGCUAAAUACUCCUGACUGACCGAUAGUGAACCAGUACCGUGAGGGAAAGGCGAAAAGAACCCCUGUGAGGGGAGUGAAAUAGAACCUGAAACCGUGUACGUACAAGCAGUAGGAGCACCUUCGUGGUGUGACUGCGUACCUUUUGUAUAAUGGGUCAGCGACUUAUAUUCAGUGGCAAGGUUAACCGUAUAGGGGAGCCGUAGCGAAAGCGAGUCUUAACUGGGCGCUCAGUCUCUGGAUAUAGACCCGAAACCGGGUGAUCUAGCCAUGGGCAGGUUGAAGGUUGAGUAACAUCAACUGGAGGACCGAACCGACUAAUGUUGAAAAAUUAGCGGAUGACUUGUGGCUAGGGGUGAAAGGCCAAUCAAACUCGGAGAUAGCUGGUUCUCCCCGAAAGCUAUUUAGGUAGCGCCUCGGACGAAUACUACUGGGGGUAGAGCACUGUUAAGGCUAGGGGGUCAUCCCGACUUACCAACCCUUUGCAAACUCCGAAUACCAGUAAGUACUAUCCGGGAGACACACGGCGGGUGCUAACGUCCGUCGUGGAGAGGGAAACAACCCAGACCGCCAGCUAAGGUCCCAAAGUAUUGCUAAGUGGGAAACGAUGUGGGAAGGCUCAGACAGCUAGGAUGUUGGCUUAGAAGCAGCCAUCAUUUAAAGAAAGCGUAAUAGCUCACUAGUCGAGUCGGCCUGCGCGGAAGAUGUAACGGGGCUAAGCAAUACACCGAAGCUGCGGCAAUGUCUUUUAGACAUUGGGUAGGGGAGCGUUCUGUAAGCCGUUGAAGGUGAAUCGUAAGGUUUGCUGGAGGUAUCAGAAGUGCGAAUGCUGACAUGAGUAACGACAAAGGGGGUGAAAAACCUCCUCGCCGGAAGACCAAGGGUUCCUGUCCAACGUUAAUCGGGGCAGGGUGAGUCGACCCCUAAGGUGAGGCCGAAAGGCGUAAUCGAUGGGAAACGGGUUAAUAUUCCCGUACUUCUGACUAUUGCGAUGGGGGGACGGAGAAGGCUAGGUGGGCCAGGCGACGGUUGUCCUGGUUCAAGUGCGUAGGCUUGAGAGUUAGGUAAAUCCGGCUCUCUCUAAGGCUGAGACACGACGUCGAGCUACUACGGUAGUGAAGUCAUUGAUGCCAUGCUUCCAGGAAAAGCCUCUAAGCUUCAGAUAGUCAGGAAUCGUACCCCAAACCGACACAGGUGGUCGGGUAGAGAAUACCAAGGCGCUUGAGAGAACUCGGGUGAAGGAACUAGGCAAAAUGGUACCGUAACUUCGGGAGAAGGUACGCUCUUGAUGGUGAAGUCCCUCGCGGAUGGAGCUGACGAGAGUCGCAGAUACCAGGUGGCUGCAACUGUUUAUUAAAAACACAGCACUGUGCAAAAUCGCAAGAUGACGUAUACGGUGUGACGCCUGCCCGGUGCCGGAAGGUUAAUUGAUGGGGUUAGCGCAAGCGAAGCUCUUGAUCGAAGCCCCGGUAAACGGCGGCCGUAACUAUAACGGUCCUAAGGUAGCGAAAUUCCUUGUCGGGUAAGUUCCGACCUGCACGAAUGGCGUAAUGAUGGCCACGCUGUCUCCACCCGAGACUCAGUGAAAUUGAAAUCGCUGUGAAGAUGCAGUGU